rnacentral:rRNA from 1 species
GAUGAACGCUGGCGGCGUGCCUAAUACAUGCAAGUCGAGCGAACAGACGAGGAGCUUGCUCCUCUGACGUUAGCGGCGGACGGGUGAGUCACACGUGGAUAACCUACCUAUAAGACUGGGAUAACUUCGGGAAACCGGAGCUAAUACCGGAUAAUAUAUUGAACCGCAUGGUUCAAUAGUGAAAGACGGUUUUGCUGUCACUUAUAGAUGGAUCCGCGCCGCAUUAGCUAGUUGGUAAGGUAACGGCUUACCAAGGCGACGAUGCGUAGCCGACCUGAGAGGGUGAUCGGCCACACUGGAACUGAGACACGGUCCAGACUACUACGGGAGGCAGCAGUAGGGAAUCUUCCGCAAUGGGCGAAAGCCUGACGGAGCAACGCCGCGUGAGUGAUGAAGGUCUUCGGAUCGUAAAACUCUGUUAUUAGGGAAGAACAAAUGUGUAAGUAACUAUGCACGUCUUGACGGUAACUAAUCAGAAAGCCACGGCUAACUACGUG